rnacentral:lncRNA from 1 species
CCAAGAACCGAUAGUCACAUUAAUCUAUUUUUACAAUUAAAUUACAAUCACAUAUCUAUACAACAACAUUCUUAUAUAAUAAUUUCGCUAUAAAAGUCGAACUUAACUUUUUCUCGAAAUCGAAUAUUACAUUAUAUUAUGAUAUAUGUACUCUACAACAACAAUUCACUAUAGCAACAACAACAAUUCACUAUAGCAACUGAAAAAAUUCGAAACAAACGAGACUGUUAUAUAGAAGUUUUACUAUAUUUACACUUGGAGAAAAGCUCCCCCUUUAACAUAUUCAGUAAAAGCCAGGGCAACUAAUCCCAACAUAGCAAAUCUUCCAUUCCAAAUCUCAGCAUCAGCACUCAUAAUCCCACUUGUAUAUUUUUUCUCAGCUCUAAUUCCUUGAAAUAGAGGAAUUAGAGAGGCUAGUGUUAGCAAAGCACUUGUCCCCAAAAACCACGAGAAACCUCCGCUCGAUAGCUGAGCGAAGAUGUCGCCGCCGUUGGCGAAUUCAGCGCCAAGGGCGGCGACAAAUCCUAUCAUUGCUAGCCUGCCAUUAAUACGCUCUGGUGCUGGACCAGAGAAGGCGAAUAGGUCUCCGAAUUUGGUGCUGGUCUGUUCACAAAAUUGUAUGAGAAAUGUUAGAACAAUGAUCUUGCCUGUUGAAGUGAUAGAAGUACUAAUACAUAUCAAAACAAUAAUAUUAAAUAUUUAUGCUAAUAAAUAUCAAAAUACUAAAAAUUUCGCAGUUCAGUACUAGUUGUCUAUUUUUCACUUUCACUCCCUUCAAAAAAAGUAUGUAUUUUAUAAUUUUACUCACAAUAAUAUUAUAUAGCAUUUCCAAAAGUCAUCAAAAAUGAUUUAAAAAAUGAAUAAUUAGUUAUAAGGGUAAAACAGGAAGAAAAAAAUCGUCAUUCUCUUGAUUUAAUACAAUGACAAAUAAAAAUAAAAAUAUAUUUUUUAUAUAGUAGAUAAAUAAAAGUGAAAGGAGAAAGUAUUAAAUAUGCAUAUUAUUAUGUCACUUGAAAAACACCACUUGUACUUAUAAUAAGUAUCAUUAAUUAUACUAAUAAAAGGGCGAAGUAUAUACUUAAACAUACUAAUCAUUCUUUGUUUCUGCAUUUGCUAUGUUAGUGAAUAUUAUUUGUUUGAUCUAUUUCACGUAAACUGAAACAGAUAAAAUUAUAUUUAAGUAAAUAUAUCAGAUAAAAUUUUGUAGUUUUUGAAAAAGUUGAAAAAUGUAGACCUUAGCCACAGGACGAGGUGUUGGUAUGGGUGUUGGUGUUGGCGUAGGUGUUGUAGCAAUAUCAUUCAAGGAGUUUGAAGUUUGGCCCUUCUCACCAUCCU